CAGCAAGAGGCAGGGACAGAGGCGAUGAGCCAGGCACGGAUCCUGAACGUGCCUCCCUGGUCUCAGCCACUCCUUUCCAUCUCCUCCAGCCUCACAAGGCCAUCAAGCCACCCAGCCUUCCCUGGGCCCAGCUUUCUUGUCCAGAGAAGCCAGUUCCUCCGGGUAAACUUUGAUUCUAGCUCUCCUCUCCCUUGGCCUGAAGGGGGUCUUUUCCUUUGGGAAUGUGAAGGCCAUUGAGCCAUCACCCAAUCAGUGCCCAGAGCAAAGAUGUGAGGCCUGUGUGGCAGGGCCAGCAAACAAAGUGGCAGUGUGUGAGGAACAAAGAUGUGGUCACAUGAAACGCUGGGAGUAGCAUUGCUGGGGAAACCAAGAAUGAAUACAAGUGCAGGGUGGAGGCGUGGAGGCUGCAGGGGUGGGGCAUCGCCUGGCAUUGGCUCUGACAGGCCCAUCUCUGCUGCUCCCCCUCCCGCACCCUAUCUCUCACCCCCUCCCAGUCCCCUCAGAGGGUCAGGAUCAGCAGGAAAGGACAUUAGAAGACAAAAAAUACUGCAAUGGACUAUGAGUAGGAUGGAAGGGAACAGCAUAGAACAGAACAGAAUAGAAUAGAAUAGAAUAGAAUAGAAUAGAAUAGAAUAGAAUAGAAUAGAAUAUAGAAUAGAAUAGAAUAGAAUCCAGAGUGUACUGUGGCAUGAUGAGAAUAAAACGUUAUUUCUUGGAACUUGCAGCUGUGUCUGGGUCUCAAUGUAACGUGCAUCCCCGUGGGGGGUGUCGUCAGAAAAAUCUGAACACCACUGAACUUGGCUUUUCCCAUGACUCUGAGAGUGCUUCUUAGACAAAUGAGCUUUCCUGAUCUCAAAGCUACAAUAAGAGGACCUAAAAGUCAAAGAAAAUAAAGACAGAAUGUUUCACUGGCCACUGGCACUUGGCCAGGAUGCAGAGACUCUACAGUGGCAACACCUGACAGCCAAAAGUCCG
rnacentral:lncRNA from 1 species